UGGCUCUCGCAUCGAUGAAGAACGCAGCGAAAUGCGAUAAGUAAUGUGAAUUGCAGAAUUCAGUGAAUCAUCGAAUCUUUGAACGCACCUUGCGCUCCUUGGUAUUCCGAGGAGCAUGCCUGUUUGAGUGUCAUUAAAUUCUCAACCUUCUACUGGUUUUGUAGAUGGCUUGGAUGCGGGGGUUAUUUUUGCAGGCUUUCACAAGUCAGCUCCCCUGAAAUGCAUUAGCCGGUACUCUCUGACCGUCUAUUGGUGUGAUAAUUAUCUACGCCGUGGACUGACGAACUUGUGCUGCUUAUAAUCGUCCUGUACGGGACAAUUUAUGACAUUUUGACCUCAAAUCAGGUAGGACUACCUGCUGA
rnacentral:misc_RNA from 1 species